rnacentral:sRNA from 12 species
UCCGCUAACUAAUGGGCUAUUGAACGAAUCUGUUUAUCAGAAUCGCCGAACUAAAACUGCGUAAGUAGCGGAGUACUUAAAGAAACGUUGGCGUCAUACAACGUGACGAAAGUACUGCAAAGUACAUAAGGUUAAAAAUUUAAGGACAAGAGACUGUUAGUGAUGACGCACUAACAGCUUUUU